rnacentral:rRNA from 1 species
GACGAGGGGUCCUAGCGUUGUUCGGAAUCAUUGGGCGUAAAGCGUAUGUAGGCUGCCAUUCAAGUCAGUUGUGAAAUCCCCGGGCUUAACCCGGGAAGUGCUUCUGAUACUGUUUGGCUUGAGUACUGGAGAGGAUAGUAGAAUUCCUGGUGUAGUGGUGAAAUACGUAGAUAUCAGGAGGAACACCAAUGGCGAAGGCAGCUCGCUGGAACGGUACUGACGCUGAGGCGCGAAAGCGUGGUGAGCGAACAGG